rnacentral:ribozyme from 1 species
AACGUUUAUAUACUUUGAAAUGGAGUAGAAUCCGAAACCUCUUGAAGGCCACACAGGCUAUUCUAACCAACUCUUAUUCCGCAACGUCCUGCGUCCUGCAGAGUGGUAACGUGUAUCACCGUAUUUCCAAUCAUGGCUAAUCGGGAUAGCUCCAACUCCUUGGGCGGAUGGUGGUGCACGGCAUAACAGGACGUA